rnacentral:rRNA from 1 species
GACGAACGCUGGCGGCGUGCUUAACACAUGCAAGUCGAGCGGUAAGGCCCUUCGGGGUACACGAGCGGCGAACGGGUGAGUAACACGUGGGUGAUCUGCCCUGUACUUCGGGAUAAGCCUGGGAAACUGGGUCUAAUACCGGAUAUGACCUUBGGGUGCAUGMYBKRGGGUGGAAAGAUUUAUCGGUACAGGAUGGGCCCGCGGCCUAUCAGCUUGUUGGUGGGGUAAUGGCCUACCAAGGCGACGACGGGUAGCCGGCCUGAGAGGGCGACCGGCCACACUGGGACUGAGACACGGCCCAGACUCCUACGGGAGGCAGCAGUGGGGAAUAUUGCACAAUGGGCGAAAGCCUGAUGCAGCGACGCCGCGUGAGGGAUGACGGCCUUCGGGUUGUAAACCUCUUUCGACAGGGACGAAGCGUAAGUGACGGUACCUGUAGAAGAAGCACCGGCCAACUACGUG